rnacentral:lncRNA from 1 species
AGCUACACCUGACGCUCUUCCUGCACACAGCCUCUGACUCUUCCUGCCAGUGGGCAUUUUCUGCAGACACCCAGGGCAUGAGUCAGCAAAAGGUAGCCAAUGCCCGAACCCAGGCCCGGAUUCUACCCUGAACUAGCUGGUUCAAGCUGAUUCCUGACACUGGGAAAACAAACCUAAAAGCAAUUUAGAAAACACCUGCCCGUGAAGUCAGAUGGCAAAAUAUCUAAAGCUUCUCUGGAAGUCUGUGACCUCAGAGGCUGACAGGGUUUGAUGGGAAAUUUAAUGUAAUAGGCUGCGAAAGCCAAGAGGCCUGUUGUCAGCAAUGAAGUCUGAAAGUUAGCAGAAUUAAUAACGCUGUACAAUGGAAGAGCCCUCAAGGGACAAGGCUGCAGAACCAGGGCAGUGGGGAAAAAUGACUUUUGAAGUCAUUUCACUAUGACAUUCUGUCAUCACUGCUAAACGGAAAUAAAAAAUCAUCCGAAUCGC